GAUGAACGCUGGCGGCGUGCCUAAUACAUGCCAGUCGAGCGAACAGACGAGGAGCUUGCUCCUCUGACGUUAGCGGCGGACGGGUGAGUAACACGUGGAUAACCUACCUAUAAGACUGGGAUAACUUCGGGAAACCGGAGCUAAUACCGGAUAACAUGUUGAACCGCAUGGUUCAACAGUGAAAGACGGUCUUGCUGUCACUUAUCGAUGGAUCCGCGCCGCAUUAGCUAGUUGGUAAGGUAACGGCUUACCAAGGCAACGAUGCGUAGCCGACCUGAGAGGGUGAUCGGCCACACUGGAACUGGGACACGGUCCAGGCUCCUACGGGAGGCAGCAGUAGGGAAUCUUCCGCAAUGGGCGAAAGCCUGACGGAGCAACGCCGCGUGAGUGAAGAAGGUCUUCGGAUCGUAAAACUCUGUUAUUAGGGAAGAACAAAUGUGUAAGUAACUAUGCACGUCUUGACGGUACCUAAUCAGAAAGCCACGGCUAACUACGUG
rnacentral:rRNA from 1 species